CACUGACCCUUCAGUCUAGAGAUCUUGUCUAGUGGCAGAGAGGCCAGAGAGACGGAGAGAGGAAGGCUAGGUGGUCAGAUUCUUCUAAGUGAUCUCAGAGAAACUGAGAGGAAGGAUCAGUG